rnacentral:misc_RNA from 1 species
AAGAAUUUGAAUGAGAUGCAAUUGAAUAUCUUGGAUAUUUGGGGUUAAACGCUUCAAAUUCCUUGGUUUCAUUGCAUUUCUUUAAUAUUCAUACACACACUAACAUGGGAAACCGUGUAAGUGUUACUAUUUAGAAUCAUUUUUUGUAUAACAUUAGUCUUUAUCUUUUUUUUGUUUUUCUCGAGUUUUUCAAUGAACUUGAUUAAAAUCAAAAUAAAAUAAAUAA